rnacentral:lncRNA from 1 species
GGGUUCAAGAGGUGGCUCCCACCAACCCGGUGGCUCCACCAAACCCGUUGGUGUAGCAUUUGUCCCGCAUAGCACUUAGUUCUCACACUUCCGGCUGGUAUUCGGCUUCUGAUACCAAUUGCAACGACCCGACCCCGCUAGCAACAAUAACUCGUUGGGCCCAAACCACUGGCCAAAAUGCUUAAGCCCAGUUGUUCUUAUUAGCGUGUAGGUCUCAUAUAAACUGAUCGAAAUCAGUAUCCCAUCCGAUGUGGGACUAUUGGGGCGUUACAAACUCCCCCUGUUUAGACCCUGACGUCCUCUUCGGGUCCAAACCACAUCACAGACAGACAGACCAGGACCAUUACCAAGCGAUGUGAGAUUCUAGAGGUGGCUCCUACGGGUUCAAGAGGUGGCUCCCGCCAAACCCGUUGGUGUAGCACUUUGUCCCGCAUAGCACUUAGUUCUCACACUUCCGGCUGGUAUUCGGCUCUGAUACCAAUUGCAACGACCCGACCCGCUAACAACAAUAAUUUGUCCCAAAAUGCUUAAGCCUAGUUAUUAUUACUAGCGUCUAAGUCUCUUAUAAACCCAAUGACAAUCCAUUCCCAUCCGAUGUGGGAUUAUUGGGGUGUCACAUGUGAUCAAUGGCACAUCAGGGUCACUAUGCUU